UCCUCUGGAAAGGCCUUGAGCAGCAUAUAGGAGGAGGAAAGCUCGGCUGGGAAACUCUAUGUCUUCCAAAGUCUGAUGGAGGACUCGGUAUCAAGGACCUAACCCUGUGGAAUAAGGGUCACAUGGACGGCUCACAAAUCCGAGACAUUUUCUGUUGCUAGUGCGUGGAAAUGCUUUAGUCCCAGAAGCCAGAAGAUGGAAUGGAGGAACGCAAUCUGGUUUGAGGGGCAGUUUCCUCGAUCCUCUUUCAUUAGCUGGCUUUGUAUUCAUAAUAGAUUGAGUACAAAAGAUAGGCUUAUGAGUUGGAGAAUCUCGAUUACUGCACCCGAAUGCGAAUUCUGUAGUUUGGAAUUGGAGACCCGAAAUCACCUCUUUUUUGAAUGCCCUAUCACCCAAGGGAUUUGGAGAAGUUUAUUAGACCGUGUUGGAAUGAACAAACACAAUGUCGACUGGAAUACGGAACUUUGCUGGGUCUCCUCUCUCCGUGGAAAGAAGCUGGAUAUUAUUUGUCUUAAACUUCUCUGGACUCACUACAUUUACUGCAUCUGGAGGGAGAGGAACGCCAGGCUCUACCGGAAUCAAGUCUCGCCUCCAACAAUUAUAAUACGAAGGAUCUUCUCGGAUGUGAAAGCAAAGUUGUCUGUUCUCCCUCGAUUCUCAUGCAAAAUUGCACACUCUAUCAUUGCGAGGCAUAUGUUUCACCAUUUUGAUACUGCAACUAGUUGACUUGGGAGUAGCUCUUGGGUAUUUUUUAUUUUACUCCGUAUAGAGGAAAAUGGUAUUGGUUUCUGAUGUAAAUUCAUCUGUUAUCAAUGAAGUUUCAUCAUUUAUCCAAAAAAAAAAAAA